rnacentral:lncRNA from 1 species
UUUCCCAAUUUUUUGAUUUUUUUUGAAUUUUUUAUGCCCGUUUCAAAAUGCGGUCAAAACGGCGGGAAUGACCGUUCCUAGCUAGUGGUUGAAUCUUGGAAUUUUGUUGGUGUUUCUCUGAUUAAAAAGAUACUUAUGUAACUAGAAAUGAUUUUUGGAAAAAAUAAAUAGCAAACUAUGAGGCAGCUGCAGUUCAAAUUUGACCCGCUUCCAGUUGAAUCGGCGGAAAUUUGUCUUUUUCACGAGAGGUGGAUCAAAACUUUUUACACCCAAAAAUUUUCUUAAUUUUGCAUUAAAUAUGUCAUAGUAUUUUAUAAAAUUGAUUUGGUCCAAUUUUGCAACAAUUAUUUGGGAAGUCCUUCACAAAAAAACCUCCUUUUGGGCACUCGAAAAAUGGAAAAUGGUUUUUUCGUCCAACGAAAAUGAAAACUUCCUUAGGCAACAUUGUUUGCCAUUCCAAUAUGCACCCUUGUGCACAAUAUGAGAUCAUUUGAACAAACUAUGCCAUGAAUGUGGCCAUAAGAUUGAUCAUUUGGCUUGAAAGCCAUUGAUCUCCACACGUGAUAGCUCGUUUCUGAGAACACUUUUUUAAAAUAAUUGCCGUAUUACAAGUUUGUUAUUUUUCUUGGGAACUUUGCCACAUAUGAUGACACAAUGCGAAGGUUUCCUAAUUUUUUGAUUUUUCUUAAAAAAUUUAUGCCCGUUUCAAAAUGCGGUCAAAAUGGUGGGAAUGACCGUUCCUAGCUAGUGGUUGAAUCUUGGAAUUUUUUUUGUGUUUCCCUGAUUAAAUAGAUACUUAUGUACCUAGAAAUGAUUUUUGGAAAAAAUAAAUAGCAAACUAUGAGGUAGCUGCAGUUCAAAUUUGACCCGCUUCCAACUGAAUCGGCGGAAAUUUGUCAUUUUCACGAGAGGUGGAUCAAAACUUUUUGCACCCAACCAUUUGGUCAAUUUUGCAUUAAAUAUGGCCUAGUAUUGUAUAAAAAUGAUUUGGUCCAAUUUUGCAACAAUUAUUUGGGAGGUCCUUCACAAAAAAACCUCCUUUUGGGCACUCAAAAAAUGAAAAAUGGUUUUUUUGUACAAAGAAAAUGAAAACUUCCUUAGGCAACAUUGUUUGCCAUUCCAAUAUGCACCCUUGUGCACAAUAUGAGAUCAUUUCAACAAACUAUGCCAUGAAUAUGGCCAUAAGAUUGAUCAUUUGGCUUGAAAGCCAUUGAUCUCCAUACAUGAUAGCUCGUUUCUGAGAACACUUUUUUAAAAUAAUUGCCGUAUUACAAGUUUGUUAUUUUUCCUGGGAACUUGGCCACAUAUAAUGACACAAUGCGAAGGUUUCCCAAUUUUUUGAUUUUUUUUAAAAAAAAUUAUGCCCGUUUCAAAAUGCGGUCAAAACGGCGGGAAUGACCGUUCCUAGCUAAUGGUUGAAUCUUGGAAUUUUUUUGGUGUUUCUCUGAUUAAAUAGAUACUUAUGUACCUAGAAAUGAUUUUUGGAAAAAAUAAAGAGCAAACUACAAGGCAGCUGCAGUUCAAAUUUGACCCGCUUCCAGCUGAAUCGGCGGAAAUUUGUCAUUUUCACGAGAGGUGGAUCAAAACUUUUUGCACCCAACCAUUUUGUCAAUUUUGCAUUAAAUAUGGCCUAGUAUUUUAUAAAAAUGAUUUGGUCCAAUUUUGCAACAAUUAUUUGGGAGGUCCUUCACAAAAAUGCCUCCUUUUGGGCACUCGAAAAAGGAAAAAUGGUUUUUUCGUACAAAGAAAAUGAAAACUUCCUUAGGCAAAAUUGUUUACCAUUCCAAUAUGCACCCUUGUGCAUAAUAUGAGAUCAUUUGAACAAACUAUGCCAUGAAUGUGGCCAUAAGAUUGAUCAUUUGGCUUGAAAGCCAUUGAUCUCCAUACAUGAUAGCUCAUUUCUGAGAACACUUUUUUAAAAUAAUUGUCGUAUUACAAGUUUGUUAUUUUUCCUGGGAACUUGGCCACAUAUAAUGAGACAAUGCGAAGGUUUCCCAAUUUUUUGAUUUUUUUCAAAUUUUUAUGCCCGUUUCAAAAUGCGGUCAAAACGGCAGGAAUGACUGUUCUUAGCUAGUGGUUGAAUCUUGGAUUUUUUUGGUGUUUCUCUGAUUAAAUAGAUACUUAUGUACCUAGAAAUGAUUUUUGGAAAAAAAUAAAGAGCAAACUACAAGGCAGCUACAGUUCAAAUUUGACCCACUUCCGAUUGAAUCGGCGGAAAUUUGUCUUUUUCACGAGAGGUGGAUCAAAUCUUUUUACACCCAACCAUUUGGUCAAUUGUGAAUUAAAUAUGUACUAGUAUUUUAUAAAAUUGAUUUGGUACAAUUUUGCAACAAAUAUAUGGUAGGUCCUUCACAAAAAAUCUCAUUUUGGGCACUCAAAAAAUGGAAAUUGUUUUUUCACGAGAGGUGGAUCAAAAGCUUUUGUCAUGCAACUAUUUGGUCAAUUUUAUAUAAAAUGUGG